rnacentral:rRNA from 1 species
UGUCUCAAAGAUUAAGCCAUGCAUGUCUAAGUAUAAGCAAUCUAUACUGUGAAACUGCGAAUGGCUCAUUAAAUCAGUUAUCGUUUAUUUGAUAGUACCUUACUACUUGGAUAACCGUGGUAAUUCUAGAGCUAAUACAUGCUAAAAACCUCGACUUCGGAAGGGGUGUAUUUAUUAGAUAAAAAACCAAUGCCCUUCGGGGCUCCUUGGUGAUUCAUAAUAACUUAACGAAUCGCAUGGCCUUGUGCCGGCGAUGGUUCAUUCAAAUUUCUGCCCUAUCAACUUUCGAUGGUAGGAUAGUGGCCUACCAUGGUUUCAACGGGUAACGGGGAAUGA